UUGAACGCUGGCGGAAUGCUUUACACAUGCAAGUCGAGCGGCAGCGCGGGAGCAACCCUGGCGACGAGCGGCGAACUGGUGAGUAAUACAUCGGAACGUACCCAGUUGUGGGGGAUAGCCCGGCGAAAGCCGGAUUAAUACCGCAUAAGUCCUGAGGGAGAAAGCGGGGGACCGCAAGGCCUCUCGCGAUUGGAGCGGCCGAUGUCAGAUUAGCUAGUUGGUGGGGUAAAGGCCUACCAAGGCGACGAUCUGUAGCUGGUCUGAGAGGACGACCAGCCACACUGGGACUGAGACACGGCCCAGACUCCUACGGGAGGCAGCAAGGGGGAAUUUUGGACAAUGGGGGCAACCCUGAUCCAGCCAUUCCGCGUGAAUGAAGAAGGCCUUCGGGUUGUAAAGCUCUUUCGGCAGGAACGAAACGGUGUGGGCCAAUACCCUGCAUCAAUGACGGUACCUGAAGAAGAAGCACCGGCUAACUACGU
rnacentral:rRNA from 1 species